GGCUACCUGAUCUAGUCAUGUAGUGAACGUAGUAUCAAGGUCUUCGGUUGGCCUACCUCGGCCCAUAGAGGAAGUACAAGUCGUAACAAGGUUUCCGUAGGUGAACCUGCGGAAGGAUCAUAGUUAUGGAGAGGUCAGCCUUCACGGGCCCCUCGUCACACUCUGGAUGCAAAUGCGCUCACGCGCUAGUCUUGGUUCCCUUGGGGGCCUUGACAAAACCUUUGUAAUCCAAAUAAUGACUAUUUGAAAUGGAAAAGAUUUACAACCAGUAGCGUUGGAUCCCUUGGCACGUCAUUCGAUGAAGACCGUUGCAAAAUGCGAUAAGUGGUGUGAUAUGCAAGUCCAAAACUUAUACGUGAAUCAUCGAAUUGUUGAACGCACUGCAUCGAGCCUUACCCAGGAACGAUACGCCCCAUUGAGCGUCAUUAUGUCUUCGCGACUUGUCAUUUUCUUGACAUGUCCGGGUUCGGGAUUCACGGCCUUUGAGGUUGCGCUUCCUUAGAAACAUUAGUGCACCGGCUUUGAUGGUGACCUUGUCAUGAAUGUCGAGGUGUGCCAAUAGGAGCCGUGUGUAAGAUCCGCAACUUGUGUGCAGAUCAAGUGCAUCCUUUGUGGACGCAACUUCUCCACAUGCCCUCAAUGGGGGUGGGACGACCCGCUAGACUUAAGCAUACAAUCAGCCGAAGA
rnacentral:rRNA from 1 species